rnacentral:rRNA from 1 species
UACAGAGGAUGCAAACGUUGCUCGGAAUCAUUGGGCGUAAAGCGCGCGUAGGCGGUUACACAAGUUGGAUGUGAAAGCCCUCGGCUUAACUGAGGAAGUGCAUCCAAAACUGUGCAGCUAGAGUACUAAAGAGGGUCGCGGAAUUCCCGGUGUAGAGGUGAAAUGCGUAGAGAUCCGGAGGAACCCCAGAGGCGAAGGCGGCGCCCUGGCUCGCAACUGACGCUCAGACACGACAGCAUGGGGAGCAAACAGG